AGGCGGUUUGUCGCGUCUGCCGUGAAAGUCCGGGGCUUAACUCCGGAUCUGCGGUGGGUACGGGCAGACUAGAGUGCAGUAGGGGAGACUGGAAUUCCUGGUGUAGCGGUGAAAUGCGCAGAUAUCAGGAGGAACACCGAUGGCGAAGGCAGGUCUCUGGGCUGUAACUGACGCUGAGGAGCGAAAGCAUGGGGAGCGAACAGGAUUAGAUACCCUGGUAGUCCAUGCCGUAAACGUUGGGCACUAGGUGUGGGGGACAUUCCACGUUUUCCGCGCCGUAGCUAACGCAUUAAGUGCCCCGCCUGGGGAGUACGGCCGCAAGGCUAAAACUCAAAGGAAUUGACGGGGGCCCGCACAAGCGGCGGAGCAUGCGGAUUAAUUCGAUGCAACGCGAAGAACCUUACCAAGGCUUGACAUGAACCGGAAUGAUGCAGAGAUGUGUCAGCCACUUGUGGCCGGUUUACAGGUGGUGCAUGGUUGUCGUCAGCUCGUGUCGUGAGAUGUUGGGUUAAGUCCCGCAACGAGCGCAACCCUCGUUCCAUGUUGCCAGCGGGUUAUGCCGGGGACUCACGGGAGACUGCCGGGGUCAACUCGGAGGAAGGUGGGGACGACGUCAAAUCAUCAUGCCCCUUAUGUCUUGGGCUUCACGCAUGCUACAAUGGCCGGUACAAAGGGUUGCGAUACUGUGAGGUGGAGCUAAUCCCAAAAAGCCGGUCUCAGUUCGGAUUGAGGUCUGCAACUCGACCUCAUGAAGUUGGAGUCGCUAGUAAUCGCAGAUCAGCAACGC
rnacentral:rRNA from 1 species